AGUGAACGCUGGCGGUAGGCCUAACACAUGCAAGUCGAACGGCAGCACAGUAAGAGCUUGCUCUUACGGGUGGCGAGUGGCGUACGGGUGAGGAAUACAUCGGAAUCUACUUUUUCGUGGGGGAUAACGUAGGGAAACUUACGCUAAUACCGCAUACGACCUACGUGUGAAAGCAGGGGAUCUUCGGACCUUGCGCGAUUGAAUGAGCCGAUGUCGGAUUAGCUAGUUGGCGGGGUAAAGGCCCACCAAGGCGACGAUCCGUAGCUGGUCUGAGAGGAUGAUCAGCCACACUGGAACUGAGACACGGUCCAGACUCCUACGGGAGGCAGAAGUGGGGAAUAUUGGACAAUGGGCGCAAGCCUGAUCCAGCCAUACCGCGUGGGUGAAGAAGGCCUUCGGGUUGUAAAGCCCUUUUGUUGGGAAAGAAAAGCAGCAGGUUAAUACCCCGCUGUUCUGACGGUACCCAAAGAAUAAGCACCGGCUAACUUCGUG
rnacentral:rRNA from 1 species